rnacentral:rRNA from 1 species
AAGAUGGCGACCGGCGCACGGGUGAGUAACACGUAUCCAACCUGCCGAUAACUCUGGAAUAGCCUUUCGAAAGAAAGAUUAAUACCGGAUGGCAUACGAAUAUCGCAUGAUUUUUUUUAUUAAAAGAAUUUUCGGUUUAUCGAGUGGGGAUGCGUUCCAUUAGUUUGUUGGCGGGGUAACGGCCCACCAAGACAACGAUGGAUAGGGGUUCUGAGAGGAACGGUCCCCCACAUUGGAACUGAGACACGGUACCAA